rnacentral:rRNA from 1 species
AUUGAACGCUGGCGGCAGGCCUAACACAUGCAAGUCGAGCGGAUGAAGGGAGCUUGCUCCUGGAUUCAGCGGCGGACGGGUGAGUAAUGCCUAGGAAUCUGCCUGGUAGUGGGGUAUAACGUCCUGAAACGGGCGCUAAUACCGCAUACGUCCUGAGGGAGAAAGUGGGGGAUCUUCGGACCUCACGCUAUCAGAUGAGCCUAGGUCGGAUUAGCUAGUUGGUGGGGUAAAGGCCUACCAAGGCGACGAUCCGUAACUGGCCUGAGAGGAUGAUCAGUCACACUGGAACUGGGACACGGUCAAGACUCCUACGGGAGGCAGCAGUGGGGAAUAUUGGACAAUGGGCGAAAGCCUGAUCCAGCCAUGCCGCGUGUGUGAAGAAGGUCUUCGGAUUGUAAAGCACUUUAAGUUGGGAGGAAGGGCAGUAAGUUAAUACCUUGCUGGUUUGACGUUACCAACAGAAUAAGCACCGGCUAACUUCGUG